rnacentral:rRNA from 1 species
CCAGCGGAGGGAUCAUUACCGAGUUUACAA